AAAUAAACCACACCAAACACACACUUAGUGUGUGUCUGGUCGAUGUUAAACACAGGGGGCGACCAGGUUUCUCCAUCAAACCCCAAAUCUCCCAAAAUUCACAAAUUGAAGCCUCUAAUCUGCUCCAAAUCAAGUUUCAAGCAUGAAUUAGUGAUCAUCUCGUUGCGGGGAUCAAAAGUUUGACGCGUAACAAGCUAAGUGGAAGCUUGAUGAGGGAGCGGGUCAAACGAAUCAAGAAGGAAAGGAAAAAGCAUAGUUCGGACACGAGGAAAUAAAUAGCACAUGGAUGCUUACAUCGCUAUCGCUUAGCAGCCACUAAGGAAAGGUAUUGAAACGGGUCAAUAUAUUGAUCCGAGCCAGGUUCUUUUUGGAUGCCGGAAGACGAUCAAGCUCAUCGAAGGACCGAACACGAUAAAGAUACAUGCUUCCGCACAUUUCCUCGUCGCAAAAUUUUAAACGACAAAUUCGAUCACUUAUGUUGAAUAACUUAUGAUUUGUAAAGGUUUUAAUAAACUCGUAUUUUUAUAGUAUGUGUAAACUUAAUU